rnacentral:lncRNA from 1 species
GAAGUCACCUGUUGCCUGCCAUCAUCAUGAGGAUCCUGCAUUUCCUCUUCUCCAUCCUCCUGGUAUUCUUCUUGAUGCUGCCAGGUUUUUUUAAAAGAAAUUUUACAUUGAUAUAAAGAAAUGCAGACCAUUACCCUACAGACAUCUAAAGGCUGCAGCUGUACCUUCCUGUACUUCAGCUGUUCUCACAGGGAGUGGAGGGCAGGGAGCUCAGGACUCGCGGAUCCUGGGUGUUUUCAGGGCAGCCCUGGACACAGCUCCUGCCCCGCACUGGGCCGUUUCCCAGACUGCGCGUCUGAGCUUUAGUUCACCCUUCCUACCAUGGUAACAGCGCAAGGAAGGAGCAAACGGAGGGGAGAGCACCGUGGGUUUGAGGGAGGCACAGAGAGAGGAAGGAAGGUGUGAGGCCAGGACCUGAGAUCGUGAAUCAGAUAGAAAUUAUAUUGGGAAAACCCGCUUCAUUUUUGGUUUUGUUUGUAAGAACCAGGCGGCUUUUUCAAUGUUUGUCAGCCCGCGUUUACAGUACACGGCGCUUGCGCUGAGCGUGGGGAGCUGGAACUCGUGCACCGUGCAGCCUAACCCCCGUCCACCUCGCUUUCCCGUCCCUCACUUCGCGUCCACGCAUCUCUUGGCCCCGCUUCUUCUUUCCUGCUUUUGGAAAAUGUUGGCGGUGCAGAGCGCUUACAUUCCUUCGCGGAGUCGGCACAUGCACCCAACACCUAGCACAUCUUGAUUCCUUUUCUCAUCCCCCACCCUUCCGACCUCCAUCUCCUGAUGCCCUUCCACUUUGAGAAACAGGUAUCUCCCUACUUCUUCUUUUUUUUUUUUUUACUUCAAAUGUGUUUAUUUUUCAUUUUAGUCAUAACAAAAUGAUUCUCAUAAGAUGGAAUUUGGUUGCUAACUUCUAAUCAAUAAUAUACAAGAACAAUCUCCAGACCAUUUUGUUAGUGAAUAUUUUGACUCACAUAUCAUUCUGAUCCACUUAACAUUAAUAUUUUAACAUCGCAAAUGAGUAAACAUUUUUCAAUGUCUUCUUAUCAUUUGGGGGGCCACAUUUUAUGCAUAGUGUGGUCUAGAGUUGAAUCAUUGAUGUGGAUUAAGCCUGCUGAAACCAUUCGAGGACUUGGAAAUUUUCUAGUGUAGCUUUCUUGUUUGUUAGGCUCUGGAGCAGUAUAAGGUCUUGCAACAUGUUUUCCCUGAUUAUGGAUAUCAUCUGGGUUCUUUCCUUCAUGUCUUGCUCUUGAUUUUGUUUUUGUAGGAUGCUUAACUGGGGUCACAUAUAAAUCCCCAUAUUCAUCCAAACAAUCAUGUAUGGAUGUUUUUGGAGUCCAGUGAAGGAAAGUCUUUGGAACAGAUUUCCUUAGAUGAAUGGUCAAGGUGGGAAGAGCAGUUGGUAACAGCCUUCCUAUGUUGUUAGAUAACUUUUUUGGUUUACCAGUAUAUUUUCUUUCUUUCUGAAUCUUGAGUUUUAUAUUUUCUCUCUUCAAUACUUCUGGGAAGAAGAAUGGCUGAGAAUUUUUCUCAUCUUCGUUAUAUUUAAAUGAUUGUGAUUCAGGAAACUUGACACAAUUUUCAUUGCAAAUUUCAUUUUGGCUCAGAUACAGAGUUUGUGUGUCCUUUUGGUAUUGCCCAAAUGUUACUAGGUGGUUUUUGUUGUUGUUAUUAUUUUCUUUCAAUCUCUGAAAACACUGGUCAAAUGUUGCUUGUUCUUUAGCCUUAAAAUUGAAAUGAGUUAAAGUGUUAGCCUGGCAUAAAGGGAAAGCAGAGCUAUUUAAAUAACCUUCAUUGUCCCUAGGCAUACAGCAAUAAGGAAUUCUUGGAAAUGGUGAUGACAUUGCUUCAGGGUUUUUUUUGAAGAGUCAGUUUAUAAGUGUUGACAUAUUCCUUUUUUUCAAGAGGAUUCACUUUCAGUGUUGUUUCAAAGCAAGCUUUUGAAAAAAUUUGUUUUUAAUUUACCAUACCUACUAUAUGGGUCUCGAGUCUCUGCUUUAUACACAGAGACUUCUGCUUGAGGAGGCUGUAUGAAAACAUAUUCUUUCUUGUGUUUCUUAAGCAAUGUACCUGUCAGUCUUUCUGAUGACUUAUUUAAUGGAAUUUCCUGGAGAGUGUUGGAAUAAGGAUGUAUUUUUAUUAAACUUAGUGUUUUAGCUCCUUCUCUAGAGUAACUGUUUUUCUGUUGCUGAAUUGCUGGUGCAUUUUCUUUUGAGUUGUGUAAGAAAGAAUAUUCCUUUUCUUCUUUCCUGAUAAAUUCUGUUUCUAUAUCUCUCCCUACUUCUUAUCAUCAGUUUUCUAUCAUCCAGAAAUCAAACAAUAGCACGUGCUGGAGAGGCUACUGGAAAAAAGAACCUGUCUACAUUUUGGUGGGAAUGUAAACUAGUACUGUCCCGCCCGCGGGUAAGUCAACGGAGACCCUAGAG